rnacentral:rRNA from 1 species
CCUACGGGGGGCAGCAGUGAGGAAUAUUGAUCAAUGGACGAGAGUCUGAACCAGCCAAGUAGCGUGAAGGAUGACUGCCCUAUGGGUUGUAAACUUCUUUUAUAUGGGAAUAAAACGUUCCACGUGUGGGAUUUUGUAUGUACCAUAUGAAUAAGGAUCGGCUAACUCCGUGCCAGCAGCCGCGGUAAUACGGAGGAUCCGAGCGUUAUCCGGAUUUAUUGGGUUUAAAGGGAGCGUAGGUGGAUUGUUAAGUCAGUUGUGAAAGUUUGCGGCUCAACCGUAAAAUUGCAGUUGAAACUGGCAGUCUUGAGUACAGUAGAGGUGGGCGGAAUUCGUGGUGUAGCGGUGAAAUGCUUAGAUAUCACGAAGAACUCCGAUUGCGAAGGCAGUUCACUGGACUGCAACUGACACUGAGGCUCGAAAGUGUGGGUAUCAAACAGGAUUAGAUACCCCAGUAGUC